rnacentral:lncRNA from 1 species
CGGGUUGCAACAGUUACCAUGGAAAAACUGUUCAAUGCCAUUUUGUGGAGCACUAUCAAGUACCCUAAGAAUUAGAUAAAUGGACUAAGAGAAUGAAAGGAAUCACAUUACUGUGAAAAAGGUUUGGCAGUUCGAUCCUACCCAUCAUGGCCUAGUGGCAGUUCUGUGUCCUUCGCUGGCCCAGGUGGCCAGGCGAUGUUUCUGAUUCCAUUCGUCAUCACUGCUUACUGUCAUCUGACACCAGUGAUCUGUGUUCCUGAUCCAUAUUCUGUGAUGGCUCCCUCACGGUGAGGCCCAAUGUCAGUUCUGUGUCCUCUGCUGGCCCAGGUAAGCCAGGUUCGGUUUCCAGUUCCAUUCAUUGUCACUGCUUAGAGUCAUCUCACACCAGUGAUCUGUGCACAUGAUCCGAGUUCGACGGCAUUCUACAUUCUACUACACGCCAGGAACCAGUGGCAGUUCUGAGUCCAUUUGCCAGCCCAACAUCCGUGUUCAGCAACAGGCUCUGAAACGCCAUAUCCUGGUGGCAGUUCUGCAUCCAUCUGCCGGACCAGGUAAUUCAGGGGCUGUUUCUGCUGCCAUUUGUCCUCUGACACCAGUGAUCUGUGCGCAUGAUCUGACAUUGAUGACCAAAUAGUGAAACGCACAAAGAGGACAGAGUGUUUCCCAAGUAUGCGGUCCACCACCACAUUCGCUGAAUCACCUGUGGCUUUCAGACUUACAACUUUGGGAGUUUCUUUCCUCCACUGUUCACACCCCUGUGUCAUAUCAACGGUUCGGGCAUUUUUUUUCCACAAUUGUCGAUGAGUUAAAGCUGACUCCGUCUUCUGAGAUGUUGGGUAUUGCGCUUCCUUCAGCCACCCCCAUUGGAAAUAUAUCUUAUGUUUAAGGAAAUCUAGCUGCUACUGUUACUGUGGAAAAACUUUUCAAUGCCAUUUUGUGGAGCAAUAUCAAAUACCCUAAGAAGUACAUCGAUGGACUAAGAGAACGAAAGGAAUCACAUUAGUGUAAAAAAGGCUCGGUUGAUCGGGACAUCACAGAGGUAUUUUCUGGAGCUGACUGAAUGCUGAAAAACCCCAAGAUGCAGUGUGUUUCCCAAGGAAGAGGGCCACCA